ACAGCCAACCCCCCCGCUCGGAAAAAAGCAUGAGAAGGAGACGAACAGAGAGAGAUCCCACAUGUAUUAAUGAGAUCCAGAGCUUGGAGAAAACUUGAUAAGAAAGAGAGGGAAAGUGUGUGAGAGGAGGUGCAGCGUCGGCGAGAGUGGUUGCUCACAUUAGCGGAGCAGGAUAAUUGUUUUAUUUACCUUGGAAACUCCGACUGGUUUUUGUGUGACCCUGGAUCUGAGAGGACGAUUUCGAUGGCGAGCCGGACCCAUGGAGAGAAGAUUGACAAUCCCUGCUAGUAGACUGGCCAGCUGCUGCAGGAUUUGCAAAGUGGAAUCACCUUGAACACGUUGAAAAACUCAGAUAAGCACAUGAACACACACUAUUAUUCCUACCCGGGGAGUGUACGUUAGAAAGACAAGACCAACAACUCAAAGAACAGUACCAGUACAACAAGAACUGAACAAAAGGACCUGGAUCCAGAGACUAUUAUUUCUUUUUCCAGAUAUUUUUAUAUUUUAUUUUAUUUUUACUAAAGAAAAAGAGCUGUAUUUUAUUUUGUUUGUUAUUUUUCUACUCACUGUAAACAUGGUAUUUUCCUGUAUUCCUAGAAUAAAACUGUCAGUUGUUACUUACCUUUCCAAUACAUUUUUUAUUAAAAAUCUUUUAUUACUCCUCAGAACCUAGGUCUUAGUAAGCACAAAUCUAACACCUGUGCUACAUGUUGUUAUCGUAUGAUGCACAGUUGCGAUCCCUGAAAAUAUACAGAUGUAACACAAAUAUAGUUGGAGCACUUAGAAACAUUUACUGUACACACCUGGCUGCAACCACGGUUUCAGUGGAUGUUCUUCAUGCAUGUGGACUCCUCGUAGGUGGUUCACAAGAGAUCAAAUGUGAUGUCCCCUGCAGAUAAAAAGAAAUGUAAGGGACCAGGUGAGGAUUUAUAAACUGUAAAGUCAAUAAGAAGAAGCAGCCUUGUGCAUUACUUAUUGUUAUUAUUGUAGGGGGGUCCCCCCUCUCUCAUUGAAGGACUUGAUAAGUUUAUCUGCUGUAAAAUAAAUGAGAACCACA